UACGUAGGGGGCGAGCGUUGUCCGAAUUUACUGGGCGUAAAGAGCAUUAAGGCGGUUUCUUAAGUGAGAGGUGAAAGGUUCAGGGCUUAACCCGAACACUGCCUUUCAUACUGGGAGACUUGAGUGCGGGAGAGGCGAAUGGAAUUCCUGGUGUAGCGGUGAAAUGCGUAGAUAUCAGGAGGAACACCCAUGGCGAAGGCAGUUCGCUGGCCUGCAACUGACGCUGUAGUGCGAAAGCGUGGGGAGCAAACAGG
rnacentral:rRNA from 1 species